GUUUCUGAUUCAGUAGGUCUGGCAGGCCACAGUGAGCUAGAGGAAUUGGGGCAUUUUGGAGAUUUAUGAGGAAAUAUUUGGAGGAGAAAGUAAAGGGACUAGAGGAAGCAGAAUGCUGCUAAUGAAAGAAGAGCCAUGACAGGGACCUGGUCU